UGUUCUUGCUGCUUGCCUUGGACCCUAGGGAAAAAAUCCGGCAACUGAGCAAAUAUUCUCUUUUUUCCCUAGGGUCCAAGGCAAGCAGCAAGAACA